rnacentral:tRNA from 1 species
AAGGCCCUAGCUUAAUUAGAGCAUCUGAGUUGCAUUUGGAAGGUGCAGGCUAGUAUCCUGCGGGCCUUA